AAGUCGUAACAAGGUUUCCGUAGGUUCGUAACAAGGUUUCCGUAGGUGAACCUGCGGAAGGAUCAUUACCGAAUAAAGCGUGGUCGGGGGGGUUGUUGCUGGCAUCCUUGUGAUGCAUGUGCACAUCCUCUGCCACUCUGUCAUUCACCAUCUCCACCUGUGCAUUUUAUUGUAGGCCAGAUUGCCAUUUUUUCACAGUCGUUCUCUUGAACGCUCUUGUGUCUUGGGGUUUGCUGUUGCAGUGACAGCUCUUCUCGUCGGCAUCUCUGGUCUAUGCUCUUUUUACCCAAACACCCCAUGUUUCUGUUUUGUAUGUAUGGCUUGUUAAAGCAAUGUGUAUGCACAACUUUCAACAACGGAUCUCUUGGCUCUC
rnacentral:misc_RNA from 1 species